GGCGGUUCUCGGGUGACACCCCCUGGAAUCAGACGCCCUCCUCUCUGGUUCCGGGUGUGUCACCUGAGAGCUGAA
rfam:Myotis davidii contig156955, whole genome shotgun sequence.